rnacentral:lncRNA from 1 species
GAGGCCCUCUUGGACAACACUUCCUCUCCUGCCCAUGGUGGGAGGUUGGGAAGGACAUUCCCCCAUUUCCAUUUGCUCUGCCAUUCAAAACCUUGUGAGGGCCCUCAGGGAAGAAUCCCUUUGCAGAUGAGGAAACUGAGGCCCCACGUGGUGAAGACAAUUUUUACCCGAAUCCACCCACAACAAGAGACCAUUUGGAUAAUGUACAUUAUGGGAAGAGAACAGAGUCUCAGUGAAGAUCAUGUUUCCCCAGCAACACAGGUGCCAGGAGUAGCUGGCUCUGGUCCCAGCCCAGACUCAGAAAUCCUGAGCCACCAGACCAUUUCUAGAUUAACAAAGGCCUGCAUUAAUUUGAUUUCAGUGACCCACUGGAAACCAGUGUCAGCAUAACAACAGUUACGAGAGCUAAACCUACAAAAUAGGUUUUCUUUGAUGGCAGUUCUGCUCUAAAGAUGGAUAAGGAAGGAGGUUCCAAGAUGGCCGAAUAGGAACAGCUCCAGUCUACAGCUCCCAGCAUGAGCAACGCAGAAGACAGGGGAUUUCUGCAUUUCCAAUUGAGAACACAGGAGCUAUGUGGAGAGUUGAUGGAGGGACAUUCCAGGCAGAGAGAACAGCAAACACAAAGGCCUUGAAGGGCUCAACACCACAUGGAAGCUGCCAAGGCUUGGGGCUCGCACCAUCUGAAGACAUGGUCUGAACUCUACGUUGGCCCUUUCAGCCAUGGCUGGAGCAGCUGGAACGCAGGGCAUCAAGUCUCUUGGCUGCACACAGCUCAGGGAAGCUGGACCUGGCCCAUGAAACCACUUUUUCUUCCUAUGCCUCCAGACCUGUGAUGGGAGGAGCUGCCAUGAAGACCUCUGACAUGCCCUAGAAACAUUUUCCCCAUUGUCUUAGGGAUUAACAUUCUGUGCCUUGUUGCUUAAGUAAAUUUCUGCCUCAUUGUCAGGCUGCAAAUUUUCUA